rnacentral:lncRNA from 1 species
AUGGUCUUCCCCAGCUCUUUUUCUAUGGUUUUGCAUACCUGGGGAAAAACAAUUCAUUCAAUUAGUAACAUUUAUCAAAUUAAUUUUAGAUAUUCCUUUUAUAUAUCUGUUGAAUAUUAAAUAUUCUUUCUAUCAGUCUGGUGAAUGUUUAGAUAUUCAAACUGCAUAAAAAUGAGUUGAACUUCUGCAGAUGUCUUGUAUGAUUUUAUUAGCAAAAAUAUAGAGAUAUACAAUACUCUAAGAGCAAAGAAAUAUAGAUAAUUUCCUGCUAAAGCAAAUUUGGCAUCCCAAGAUUAUGUCAUAGAAAUGACAAUCUGAAUGAUAUAGGAGAUAAGUAGAGAAACAAAUAUUUAAAGGAUUUAAAAGGGGCCACUAAAAUGUAAAGCUCUAAUGCUUACUGCACACUAAGAGUUCCCUUAGGAUCAAGCUAGAUCUAUCUCUACUGAGCUACUUUUAACAUGGUUCUGUUUAGCAAGGACAGUUCAAGAGCAAUAAUUGUCCCUAAUAAGGAGAUGAUAAACUGGUGCUUUUCACUCCACUAUGGCAUACAGGUUUUUCCAUAAUUUCUGCUUUCACAGAGAAAAGGAAUGCCAUCUUCUUGUAAUUGACGAAUUGUCAUCUCCCAUAAUCAUUUUCGGUUGCUCUUAAAACUUUCACUUCCAAUCAAUCGUGGACGCUGGAUGACAAGCGUGUAAGUGAUUACAAAGUUGAGAUAUAAAACCACAUGGAGCAGAAGAUUGAUUUUCUCAGUAGGCUUCAGCUAGGGGAGAGGGGUUCUGAAGAAGAGGCUAUAUAGGAAAACAAAGGAUAAUUACAUCAAAUGACCAUUCGGUCAAUUUGAUUACCAAAAAAAUGGCCAAUUUCUUCUCCACCUUCAUUGUCGUCGCCAGUUUCUUCUUCCAGUUUUUUCUUCUUCUUUAUAAAAAUUUGAUGUACCGCAAACGUGAAUUGUUUCGAGCGAAUUAUAUAUCUAAAAACUCAAAACAUCGAGAGGAUUUCACAUCUAAAUUUUGGGAUUGUUUAGAGGUGAUCUUGAGUUGAUCGAUAUAGAAUAGUAGGUGUAUACUUCAUGUAUACUCCGUGUAUAUUUCAUGUAUAAUUAAGCUAUAUUCAGUUUUUUGAGUGUAUCAUAAUGUAUAGUUAGUGUAUAACUCAUGUAUAGGUAAAUUAUAUUGUAUAGUCAGUGUAUACUUUCUACAACUUUUGGCAAGCUAUAUUGUACCGUCAAGGUAUAUUUCCUAUGAUUUUUGGCUAUUUUCUAUGUAAAUAAAACAUGGCUAUAUUUGUUGUAAACUAAUUUAUUGUAUAUAUUUGAAACUACCCGAAAACAAAUUUGAGGUUUUGGGAUAGGAAAGUAUCUUGUAAAAAUAUGUUAAUCAAUGAAAAGAGGAGGAAUCAUGUCUAAAACAAGAUAAUUAUUUCCGAAAAAUACUUAUUAUCCAUGCAAAAUUCCAGGCAACAUAGAAUAGAUUUCCCUGCAGACCAUUGGUUCUCCAGCUUACAUCAGAGAUGCGCCAGAGUAUGAAUCGUAAGUAAAUGAAUUCAUGGGGGUUUUAGCAUAUCUUUUCACAUCGACGUAACCUGAGUUGCUUUGAUGAUUAAUAGCUAACUUGGUCUUCUUGGUCAUGCUAUAAAAAACCCAAUUAAAAGAUCGGCUUUAAAUAUGAUCAAACACAGCCUCCACUCUUUUACAGUUCUGUCUCUCCACUAUCUCCUACCAAUUGCAACCUCUCAGAC